rnacentral:lncRNA from 1 species
GAGAUAUGAACCUAGACGGAGGAAGUUCAAUUCUUUCCAGGUCUUAUGUUAGAGGUUCUCACUAAAAUUUUCGCCGGUGGUGCUCCAGCAUGGCCACAGCCUUAGAGCUGAAACGUAUAAAAGAAUAAAAGAGUUCCUAUACAUGAUGUCUGUGUGUGUGUAUGUAUGUAUAAGACAAUAAACUUUCCGCUACAAUUGUGGUUUUAGAACCCACCAAUGGACAAAAAUAGUAAUGGUCGUUGCAAGACAAAGGCAACGGAUAAUUCGGAUGCACGCAGCCCUUCAAUAGAGAGGAAAGUGAGACAACGAAAAACCUGCUUCCCACCAAUAAAACAAUAUUCCACUGAGGAAAGGAUUAUUCCCAGCAGAACAGAUUCAGAAUUACAUCUUCCGGAUAUUCGCGAGAAAACCAACAGAUUGUUUCACGAUCCGUCUCCGCAGGAUAUUGAACUCUCGCCCCACUCAUCCAAUAUACAUCAUCUACCAAGUGUAAGCAGUCACCCAAUGGUAAACUUUGGCUAUGACUGGGCCCAACUGAAGCAGCAACAGAAAGCAGCCAAGUCAAUCGGCCCCAGAGCCGCACAUAAGAAACAGAAAGCUAAGAAGAUGAAACGGUCGGAGUCCUAAAACUCAUCAGGGUUACCUCUUUAGGAAUUUUACCAGAAUCACUUAGUCACCUCAAAUUCUUUCCAGCACAUUUUUCAUUCACUCCUACAACUGCUACAACAACAAAUCUUACAAUUUAUAAUAAUAAUAAUAAUAAUAAUAAUAAUCGAAAUUAAAUAUCUGAGAUGAGCAUCA